AGUCCUCUAUUCUUAUCAGCUCAACAUCGUUUUUGGACAAAGCACUCUUUGGAAAUUGGAAUUGAUAAUCGCUCUUGUGGUUGUUCUAUGCGUGUUCUGUGUUCGAUAAGUAUACUUAGAUAUUUUGCUAAUCAACUCUGAAGAUCUCAAUUUUCGAAGGACAAGUUUGAAUAAUUUGGUAAUACAACAUGGAGUAUACGACGAAGAUUCCCAUUCCAACUGAUCUCACGACGAGCACAGGAACUAUUGAACAAAAAGUGAUCUACCUCGGUGGUAAAAAAUGCAACUCUGUCAAGUGGAAUAUACUAGAAAAACCCUUUCAACGCGCAAGUACACUCGUAUCAAGAAAGUUUGAUGUGACUCUGGCUGGUGAUGAUACCAAAACUCUUACAUGGAGUUUAGCCAUUGUGAAAUCGGAACACUCGAGCAGUUACUUUUAUCUAUUGCCAUGGUUCAUGCCCGAAAAUGAUUGUAAGGAAGUGGUUGUGAUACUUGAUCUAUUUAUUUUUGAUUAUGUUGUAAAUGCUAAGCGAAUUGUUGCGAGUAGUUAUGGAAAUGUGUGUAGUUUUGUCGCUGCAGAGAAACAUAGCUCGACACAUUUACUUUUCAACGCAAGUAAUCUUGUGAAGUGUGUUUCCAAUGUCAAUUGUUGUUCUCUGUUGUCUUCGCUGACUGUCGGUUGUAACAUAAUUCAAUCUCAUUUCGCCGAAGUUGACCUCUACAAAGAUUUGACAAAUGCAAUUGCAAGUCUAGAUCAUGAUGUAACACUUUUGUCAAAUGAUGGUAAUGAUUACAAGGCUCAUAAGCUCAUGUUGAGUGCUCGCAGCUCAGUUUUUUCUGCCAUGUUUGCGCACAAGAUGAAAGAAAACGUACGAAACGAGGUGAAAAUUAAAGAUUGUAAUGGAGAAGUCGUGGAAGAAAUGUUACGUUACAUAUAUACAGGAAAGGUGGAGAAAUUAGAACGUCUGGCGAAAGAUCUUUUGGUGGCGGCUGAAAAAUAUGAUAUGAAGGGAUUGAAAACCAUGUCUGAAGAUAUGCUGUUCUCGACCUUGGUAGCUUCCAAUGCUGUGGAAAUUCUGCAACUGGCAGAUUUGCAUAAUGCGCCUACAUUGAAAACCUCUGCCAUCGAGUUCAUAAUAAGAGAAAGUAGUGAAGUGAAGAAGACCAAGGCGUGGAAGAAUCUGAAGCAGUCGAAUUUCAAUCUGCUCAAAAUAAUAUGUGAUGCUUCUUUGUCUCGUAAUGAAAACCAAAACCGUAAACAAAAUCAACAAAAUGCGUACGAGUGGUAACGAUUGAUAAAUUUUUUUAAUCGUAUUAUUAUUCAUUGUUGUUUUAUAUUUUUAUGAUUUAUAUUUGAAUUUAUUAAGAAAGUAUUGAUGUAAAAUGUAUCUCAUAGGCUACUUGUUGAAAAAUUGAAUUAAAUAUUAAAGUACCUAGGUACUAUAUGUAUUCUAUGUACAUAGUUAUUAUUAAACCUUAGCCUAUUUAGGUAAUGAACAUGAUUGAGGUUUGAUUCAAAAAAUUGAGAAUAAUCUUAUGAAUUAAAAAAAAGUGAAGUGUACGAAUCACGUAUUAAACUUCUCCUGUACUGGCAUGAUGCAAUGCUAAUUUUUGUAUGGUAGUUAUCAUUCGUGAGUUUACUAUACAUAAUGAUUGUGAUAAGCGAAAUGUUUGAGAAUUGAUCUUUUAGCUAGCGCCCUAGUAGAAGUACUGCAUAUUAUAUACCUGAUUUCAAUUUCAUUCAUAAACGUUCUAGGAGGAACUUGUUAAUUACCUUCUUACUUAAUGACGGAAACAGAAAUACAUUAUCUAAUUUAGUUUUUAUCGUUUUAGAUAUCGAUUUAAUAUCAUCAGUUCACGCUCCAUGUCGAAAAGCAUAAAUUAUAGGACCCUGUAUAUCUAGAAAUGCUUUCUCGCGCAUCUAAAAAUUAUUUCUUCGAGUCGAUGUGUAGCUGAAACAGAGAUUUUUAAAACAUUACCUACCUCUAAAACCUCGUCUAUAUUUCUUGAUGUUAAUUUUUAGCUAUUGAAAAAGCAAAUGUAAACAUCUGUUAGUAGUUUUUUGUGCUGAAAGUUGGCGAUACCGUUGCCAAGGGAUUUACCAUCAUUGAUCCAUGCUUUGUGUGAUGUUGAAUGUUGAAUAAUCUAUGCUUUCUGAAUUUCUGCUACUGAACUUCUCUUGAAGAAUGUAAUUUUCAAAGUCCAAAUUCUUCUUUGAAAUGUUUGGAAACUUAUCCUUUGAUGUUUUUCGACGUGUUAAAAGAUUGAGUAUUUGUUUUGGCCUUUUGGGUAGUUGUGUCACUGAUAACGUAUAAAUACAUGUUGUUCCGAAAAUUUCAGCUUUAUUCUAGGUACACAUAUCAGAACAAUUUUGCGAGCUGAAACCACAUCAUGGAAAAUUCGAUGAAAAUUUCAAUCCCAACAGAUCCUCAAAUAAUAGGAUCAAUUAAGCAAACAUCAUCUUACAUCAAUUGUGAAAAACUAAAUUCCAUCGAGUGGAAAAUAAGCAAUUUAUUCUGCAUUCACUCCAACAAAUGGCCCGAGAAAAAAUUCGUUUCAGAAAAUUUCACGUUGAUUGACGACGAAGACAAUACUCCUCUAACGUGGUGUUUAGCACUGGUAGGAUGGCCAGGAGAACUGAGCCAUUACUUUUCUGCAUUUCCAUGUUUCUUGGCUGAGAAUCACUGUAAAGAAGCAAACGUGAAAAUAAAAUUAUCGAUUCUGGAUAAAGAGCGAAAAAAGCUCUGCGUUGCCAACUCGGGUGAUAUCUGUAACUUCGAUGCGAACGAUCAGAGUACUUCUGUGUAUUUAUAUUUCAACGCAUUUUUCACAGGAGAUCCCUUUAUCGUGGUCUGUGACAUAAUUCAAUCAGAUUUGCCCAAGUUUAACCUAUCUAAAGAUUUGGAAAAUGUGUUCAAGAAUCCAGAUUCGAGUUCAACGGAUAUUACUUUACUAUCGAACGAUGGUAAAAUUCACAAAGCUCACAAGAUGAUGUUGGCCGCUCGAAGCUCUGUGUUUAAUGCCAUGUUUAUGCACAAGAUGAAAGAAAAUCAGCUACACGAGGUGAAAAUUCAAGAUAUGAGUGGAGAAGUGAUGGAAGACAUGUUACAUUACGUGUAUUCAGGAAAAUCAAAGAAAUUGAAACAUCUGACUAAAGAUCUGCUGGUGGCUGCUGAUAAAUAUGAUUUGAAAGGAUUGAAAAUAAUGUGCGAAGAAACUAUGCUGUCAACUUUGUCAGUUUUUAACGCUGUAGAAAUGUUGCAGUUUUCAGAUUUAUACAACGCUGCUCGAUUGAAAUCACAAAUUGUGAAUUUUAUAAUCAGUGAGGAAAGUGGUGAAGUGAUUAACACCCAGGCUUGGAAGCGUCUUGAGGAGUCGAGUUUUCAUUUACUCAAAAUAAUAUGCGAGGCUUCGAUCUCUCGUCGUAAAUCUACCGAGUGAAAUCAACUUCAAUGAUUGAUUGUGUGCGUUUGAGAAAGUCGAGAAUCCCCCCAUGUUAUCUAUUCAUCCGACCUUUCACCUUUCGACCUGUAAUUUUUGGCUCUUUUCGAUUGGCGAACUAAAAAGCCGUCUCUGGACGCAAGUUCUUUUUGAAUUCGAUGUAGGUAUUUAUUGUGUAAUUGAAGAGUGAUAUUGCAAAACUCGCUUUGUCCAUUUUUAUCAAAGUUGGGAUUUCAGUGGUACCUGGUAGAUGAAGUAUUAACUCACAUUCCUACAUCAUCAACCUACCAAAAUGAGGUGUUAAACUCACCUAAAUAGCCAAUUCACUAAAAAUUUAAAAAAAAAUAAUUUUCCAAAACGCGCUUUGUCUAUUUUUAUUGAAAUUUUUUUCAGCAGUAUUUAGUGGAUGAAAUGUAUACCUACACUCCUACAUCAUAAAUUCACCCAAAUAAAGUGCUAAACUCGCCUAAAAAGCCAAUUUACCCGUUUAAAGGGAAACUAUUUUUCCUCUCUCCUGAAAACUUGUGAAAAUGGACAAAGCGAGUUUUGGAAUAUCACUCUUCAAUUGAAUUUGCUUAAGUGGCAAUGAACUUUAUAUAAUUAAGUGGGUAUUAUUUUAAUAGACUAAUUAUACCUACAUAUCCCUUUAUUUUGUUUUCAUGGCCAUCCAUUUGAAAUAUGUAAGGUAUAAAGCUAUAUAAAUGUAAAUCGUGUUUUUAAUUUUCAGUAUUUUAUUUUCUAAAGGUCUCAACAAUUUUUUCAGGUUUAAAAAUGAUUGUAGGUUCCUAAAAUGCAAAAAUUUGUUUAAAAUUGGACAUUCUGAGUUUAUGACCCGCUAAACAUUGUGGUGCAAAAAAAAGGUUUCUAGCUCCCCUCACGUUCCACUCCAAAUGAGGGUCAUAAUAGGCGGGAAAUGUAAAUUACAAUAUUUUUUACAAUAAUGAACUCGUUAUUGAAUCUACCAAAAAAGAGAAGAAGAAUGACGCAGUGGAAUUUUUCCUGCCCCCUCUCAUUUAUCCCCCAUCAAUGAUUGAAAUAUUGAAUGAGAGGAGUGGGGGUGAAAAUAUGAAAAAUUCAAAUCGGAUGAACUCGAUAUUGACAAAAUUGUGACUCGGGAAGUACAAUUGUGAUUUCCGAAUUUUUUUUAACCCCUCCUCCCAUUUUAUCCCCCUCCACCAAUGAUUGAAAUAUUGAAUGAGAGGAGUGGGGGGGGUGAAAAUAUGAAAAAUUCAAAUCGGAUGAACUCAAUAUUGACCUAUAUAGUGUGACUUGGGAAGGUACAAUGGUGAUUUCAAAUUUUUUCUACCCCCUCUCAUUCAUCCCCCGUCAAUGAUUGAUAUAUUGAUUAUUGGAUGAGAGAAGUGGGAGUGAAAAUAUGAAAAAUUCAAAUGGGAUGAACUCGAUAUUGACCAAAGAACCUUCCAAAGUACACCAACAGUCCAAAUUUUUAAUGUUUAAACUCAUUUUUCCAUUUUUCGACGAAUUUUUGGAAAUUUCAAAUUUUAUAUUUGACCCUAUUUUCCAUCGAAAAGUCAAAAUUUGAUCGAGUAGAGGUAUAAAGCUGAAAUUUAAUCUGUAUCCUAUUUUUAAUCUCCCAAAUCGAUUGGCAAUGGUUUUGGGUCGUUUUGGAGCCUCCGACGAAUUCUUGAAUUUUUUAGUUUUGAAGAAAAUGUCAAAAAAGGAGCUAAAAUAGAAUUCAGCCCCGUUAAAAGUGGAGGAACCGUCUAUGUGACCCAUGGAUCGUUUUAAACAACAAAAUUUCCCAAAGCCAUUUCUGUUGGUUCAAAUUGAAAAUGUUUUCUGGACCACUCUUGUAGUAAAAAUACUCAAAAAUCUAUGGUAGCUAGGUUCCAAAAUGGCUUGAAUACCUGGGUACUCCUUCAAUCGAUUAUUGAGUGUUGAAAAUACAUAUAAGGUAGAAAUUGAGUCUUAGGUUUCUGUUUGCUGAUAUGUUUUUGAACGUGAAAUUUUUCAUUUCUACCCUGAAAAUAGGUAAUAAUCUCCGAAGAAAAUUAUAAAUUUUGAGCAGGAAGGUACAGAUUUCGAAAAUUUGGCCAUAAAAUUGAUCGAAAUAGUUGCAAAGACGGUGAUUCCGAGUUGAAAAGGGUUGAAUUUCAUUUUGGCUUUUUUCAAUUGCGAUUUUUCAUAACAGGAAAAAAUCCAAAAAUCUCUUGAGGUCUACAGAACGUUUCGAAACCAUCACCAAUAUGGAAUUGAAAAAUGAAAAAUGAGGUAGGUAUGAACAAAAUUCUAGCUUUUUACUCAAACCUUAUCAAAUUUUAAUUUUGCAAUGGAAAAUGAACCAAAUUUGAACGUUCAAAACCCCACUAAAAAUCAUAAAGUGAAAUUCAGCACCUGAAAUUCUACUACUUACAUUUAUUUGGAACCAACUUACGAAUAUAAUUAUGAACAAAAAUUUAAAAACAAACAGCCAUCUUACAUAUUAACAGAUAUGGUGAAAAAAGUAUUGAAAGAUCAAGUCAUUUUUUUUGAAAAGUUCCAAAUUGGUCAACCUCAAUUCACCUCACUCACAAUCAGUCACUCUGCCAGAGUUUUCUCUUUAUUUAAAAUUCAAAUCAUCGAGUUUGGCAAAGCACUGCGUUUACUGUUCAGUUAGUUAUCAAAAACAUCGACUUGUAAAAUGAACCAAUAUCACAAAUAAAUAAGAGAGAAUAGGUAUUCACAGAUUGUGAUAAAUGUGCAUUUAUGUAGGUAGAGGUACAAUCAUAUGUAUGAGAGCGAUUUUGUUUGAAAAUUACUCACGUUCUCUGACGUAGGAAUCUAUAGCUACUGUUCUACUUAUUUGAAAUAAUUUUAUGCAGGUUCCAGGAAGUACCGAAUCGGGCAUGUGUGCAUACAUCGUCUGAUUAGGUUACGUUAUCAUAUUAUGAUGUAUACUCGUAUGCAGAUAAAAUAAUACUUAGUAUAUCACUGUGCAUUCAGUUAAUGACUCACAUUGAUAAUAGGGCAGUACUACCUAGGUAUUUCCAAUAAAUUAUACAUAUCGCAUGUAUGUAAUUUAACACAGUUUUUUCGCGUUUCUGAAAUUCGUCAUUCUAUUAAAAUGUAUUCUAACUGAAUCGUUGGCAGUGAUAAUUCGUUUUCGUGAAUCCCAUUGUGAUGUUAAAUGUUCAAUAUUUGUGUUCAUCUUCAUUCAACUUUUCUUGAAGAUUUACAUUUCCAAAGAGCACAGAACAGAUCCAAUCGGUCUCUUGAAACUAUUAAACAUGACAAACAAGAUGAAAAUGCCAAUCCCAACAAAUAAUACUCGACAAGCAGGAUACAUUGAUCAAGAAGUAUCCAAUAUAAACGGUGAAAAUAGUGAUUCCAUCAGAUGGAGCAUAAACAGCUUAUUUUCUCAUCACUUGAGAAAUUGGCCUUCUGGAAGAUUUGUAUCUCAACACUUCACUAUACCUAGCAUCGAUGGAAAUUGCGCUCUCACGUGGUAUUUAGCUCUUGUAAAAUCUGAAGACUCGGACGGUUACUUCCACUUAUUUCCAUGUUUCCCGCCCGAUAACGAUUGUAAAGAAGUAUCUGUAAAAAUUGAAUUAUCAGUUCUGGAUGAAACACGAAUUAAUAAGCAGUGGAGUUUCAGUAUAGGGGAUGUUUUUACUUUCGACGCGAGGGAUGAAAGUAGCCCAGUACAUGUACGUUUUAACGCGCGUAAACACGUGUAUCGUAGUAACACUCACGUAGAAGACACUUUGGUCGUUGUUUGCGACAUAAUUCAAAUAGAUUUGCCUAAAAGUCUCUCGAGAUAUUUGGAAGAUGCGUUCAUAAGUCAAGAUUUAACCGAUAUUGCCCUAUUGUCGAAAGAUGGCAAAGUAUGUAAAGCUCACAAAAUUAUGCUGGCGGCUCGUAGUUCGGUCUUUGCUGCCAUGUUCAAGCACGAUGAGAUGAAGGAAAGUGAGCAUCGUGAAGUGAAAAUUGACGAUAUUAGCGGAGAUGUAAUCGAAGAAAUGCUACGUUUCGUGUACACAGAGAAGAGUGAAAAUUUAAAGAUCAUGGCGAAAGAUUUAUUGAUAGCUGCGGAAAAAUAUGAUUUGAAAAAACUGAAAAUCGUAUGUGAAGAUGCGGUCAUCGCUGAUUUAUCGGUUGCUAAUGCUGUAGAAAUGCUGCAGUUUUCAGAUUUACAUAAUGCUGAUCGAUUGCAAUCUGCUGCCCUUGGUUUUGUGAUAGAGAAUUAUGGCAAAGUGAGGAAUACUGAAGCAUGGAUGAGUCUUGAUCAGUCAAGUCUUCAUUUGGUGAAAGCGAUUUGCGACGAUAUUAUGUCUGGUCAUACAAGUUCCGAAUGAAAUUUAUUCGAGUGGGGAUGACUUUUUUUGUUACAUAUUUAUAUUUUAUUCAACAUAAUUAUUAUCUGUUUAUUAUUUGUUUUUAUAUGAUAAUUUUGAAUAAGUUUGUACAAAGUUAUAUAAAUUUGAAUCGUUUUUUCUUUUUGA